GCAAAUAGAAAAGGUAAACAUUUGUCCUGCACAUAGAGAUGGUCUAGCGACAUAUUUGAGCAGAUGGGCUAGCUGAUGAUGAAGGCACAACAACAACAUCAACACACUUCGUUUUCCUAGAAGAAAUCGCAGUUACUGGCUUCUCAUCUGGUGUCACGAGCAUGUGUCCCCAACAGCAGCAUUAAGAUGCUUGGAGAUCACGAGGUAGUCAAGCAUGAAAGUUGAGUUGUGGAAAUCAAAAGCUAAUCAUGUAAAGAUACCAUCUCGCUUCAUUUCUUGCUUUUGACACAUCCACAUUUAAGCUAUUCUGUAAUAUUUAUCUGUUUCAUGUUAAGUUCGAAUCACUCUUUGGUCUUUUUAGAUUGCUUUCAGAUUUU